UUGCCCGUGCUGAUGGGUGUGUGCAAGCCAGGAAAGUGGAAUCAACCCUGGACCAGAUGAAAACUUUCUCACAGCACGGAUGGAGACUGGGCCAACCCUGGCACAUGGAAAUGGACCUGUGCAGCUUAAAAGUCAGGCACAACACAGCAGCAGCAGUAGGGAGAGGAGGAUUUGUCCCAGUGAAUACACAAGUUGUGUGAGGAUAUCUCAGCAGGCAGCCUCUAAGCUCCAGCAGGACCCAAGGAUCCAGGAUCCAGCACAAUGCAGUGGCCCGAGAAAGGAUUUUUGUGGGUCAGUUGGAUGUGUUCCCUGCUUCAUACAGAGGCUCUCAGAUGGACCCAAGGUUUGCACUUCAAUUUCUGGGAACAGAAAGUAAUCAGAAGUUUUUCCAGCUAUCUAAAGCA